AUAUUUGCCUGGCAAGGGAGUUACCAUGAUCACGAAGGUGGUUUUCCUGGGGUGAAGCUCAUCCAUUGCACUCUAGGUGUGCUGAUGCCUGUGAUUUCCCAAAAUGAGGAAAACUUGACUGAAUAAUUUGUAGUAUGUUUAGAGAUAAUUACCAGCACUUUAC